rnacentral:rRNA from 1 species
UACGAAGGAUCCUAGCGUUGUCCGGAUUUACUGGGUUUAAAGGGAGCGUAGGCGGACUUUUAAGUCAGUGGUGAAAGCCUGCAGCUUAACUGUAGAAUUGCCAUUGAAACUGAUUGUCUCGAGUGCGGUUGAGGUCACUGGAAUGUAUCAUGUAGCGGUGAAAUGCUUAGAUAUGAUACAGAACACCAAUUGCGAAGGCAGCUGGCCACAGGAACAUUGACACUGAGGCACGAAAGCGUGGGGAUCAAACUGG